rnacentral:lncRNA from 1 species
CUAAGCAUAUUGAUAUUGGUUAUUCUUAUUAUUUGAAAUUACAAGAGUUUAAAUCUUUCAUGACUCCAAGGUGGAUUUGAUGGGCCCCUCUUUGGUUAGUUUUGGUCAAAUUUUCAUGGGGCAUGUAAUGCCACGCAAAGUAACAUAGGAGACAUAGAGAGUUCGAUUAUAGACGUAGAUGAGAGUAAAAAGUGGUCGC